UACGUAGGGUGCGAGCGUUACUCGGAAUUACUGGGCGUAAAGCGUGCGCAGGUGGUUUCGCAAGUCGAGUGUGAAAGCCCCGGGCUUAACCUGGGAAUUGCGCUCGAAACUACAGGACUGGAGUGUGGCAGAGGGAGGUGGAAUUCCACGUGUAGCGGUGAAAUGCGUAGAGAUGUGGAGGAACACCGAUGGCGAAGGCAGCCUCCUGGGCCAACACUGACACUCAGGCACGAAAGCGUGGGGAGCAAACAGG
rnacentral:rRNA from 1 species